rnacentral:tRNA from 1 species
GGUUUUGAGGCUAAGUUGUAAAGCGCUUGGCUUCCAAACCGGGGUCCCGGGUUCGAUUCCUGGUGAAGGCU